UGAGACUGGCAGCGGAAAGAAGCGCGGACAUGGUUACGAUCAAGUGGCGCAUUCAAGUGGACGCGCUUUGCUUUUUGUUUCGGCUUGGGUACAAAAGAAGUUAAAGUUGUGUAGCUCUCGACGAAGAGAGAAUACUAAGUCACGAAUUGUGUAGCCUCAAACUGAGCAGCGGUCAUUGUUAUCUCAUUCUUCAUGGUUACUUAAAAUUGUUUUCCAAUUUCCACACACCGAGCAUGCUCGCAACAUGUUGGGAGCUCAAUGUGCGAGCUUGCCUGGGGGAUGUUCUCAGGACAUGCUUGAAUUCCUGCACCUAAACCAUCUCUCUGGUCAAAAAGAAGUGGGAGGGAGCUCAUAGGAGACCUGUGUGUGAUGGAGGGAGCAAGAGGGUAAAGGUGGAAACUUGAGGGCGACCACACACACCCACUCACCCGAGCCAAGCAGCGAGUUGCCACGGCUUGUGGAAAAACUGCUAGCUGAGGAAGAUGAGAAUGAAGAGGACAAAGGGGUGGUGGUGGGCAAUGAGGAGGG